rnacentral:rRNA from 1 species
UACGUAGGGGGCUAGCGUUGUCCGGAAUCAUUGGGCGUAAAGCGCGUGUAGGCGGCCCGGUAAGUCCGCUGUGAAAGUCGGGGGCUCAACCCUCGAAAGCCGGUGGAUACUGUCGGGCUCGAGUACGGAAGAGGCGAGUGGAAUUCCUGGUGUAGCGGUGAAAUGCGCAGAUAUCAGGAGGAACACCGAUUGCGAAGGCAGCUCGCUGGGACGUAACUGACGCUGAGACGCGAAAGCGUGGGGAGCAAACAGGA